CGGAUGUAGCCAWGUGGAUCAAGGCAGU
rnacentral:tRNA from 1 species